rnacentral:rRNA from 1 species
UACAGAGGUCCCAAGCGUUGUUCGGAUUCACUGGGCGUAAAGGGUGCGUAGGUGGUCGGGUAAGUCUGAUGUGAAAUCUCAGAGCUCAACUCUGAAACUGCAUUGGAUACUAUCCGGCUUGAGGAUCGGAGGGGGGACUGGAAUUCUCGGUGUAGCAGUGAAAUGCGUAGAUAUCGAGAGGAACACCAGUGGCGAAGGCGAGUCCCUGGACGACUCCUGACACUGAGGCACGAAAGCUAGGGGAGCAAACAGG